GAGAAGGCACCCGUGGUCUGUGUUGUGUGAGGUGGUCACACAGCUCCAGGAGCUCAGCUUCUCCUCAGGGGAUUGAUAUUUAGAUGAGGUAUUGGGAAAACUUCCUCCAUGGAAACCUUGGAACAGGCUGCCCAGGGAAGCGGUGGAGCCAGCACCCCUGAGAGUGCGCAAAGAAGGUGCUGGAGGAUGUGGUUUAGAGAGCAUCAGACAAAUCAAGCGGAGGCAGAGAUCACUCCGUGGGAGGGAAAAGACCACGAGCUCCACGGGCACUGCCAGCUCACAGGAGAAAAAGAUAUUUAAACCACCCACUAAAUUUGUCCAGCAGAGACAGGAGAACAUGAAACCACUACAACAUCGCUGCUGUGCUACCCUGUGUCCCCUCAGCAACACAUCCUGAACACCAGAGGGGAAAAUUAAACCAUCCCAGCCUUGGAGCUCCAGACCUAAGAUACAUCCAAAGCCAGCUUUCCUGUUUCAGAAGUCCCUCGUUAUUCUGGCUUUUCUUACCCCGUUUUUUCUUGCUCCUCCUCUUCCUCACCCAAGCCUCAGGCAAAUCUUCAGCAGCAGAUCCGCGUCUCCAGAGCCUUCACACCAAAUUCUGCUCCGCCCAGCCUCUAACCAGCAACACCACGCAAAGCAUACAACCAAAAACUUCUCCCCCAACUCCACCACCAGCCUAAAAUCCUCCUCCCCACGCAGCCCUCUCCAGCUGGGCUCUGCCCCUUUCAGCUCUCACCGCACACAGCCGUGGCAGGCAGGGCUGGAUGGGCUGGCGGUGUGUGAGCACCAACCCUUCUGAGGGAAGGCACCCCAUGGGAAUGGAGGGUAAGCAAUCAAAUAUCACCUCUUUUCCCCCUCCAAAUUUAAGGAUUCAGGAAGUCAGGGAGAAGUUACUGCCUGUUUAGAAAGUAUUGUUCAUAUAGCAGCACUACAGGACCUGAUGCUCCUCUAGAGUGUUCUGGGACUGAGAAAAUGGCCUCAAGUUAUGUCAGGGGAGGACUGGAUUGAAUAUCAGGAAAAAUUUCUUCUUGGGAAGGAUUGUCAAACACCAGAACAGUGAAGUGGUGGAGCCACCAUCCCUGCAAAUGUUCAAAGGACAUGUGGAUGUGGCACUUGGGGACAUGGUUUAGUGGUGAGCACGGUGGUGGUGCCGAGCUGAACUUGAUCUUAAAGACCUUCUCCAUCCUUAAUGACUCCAUGAUUAUUCUGUGAGCUGCAGGUGACAUAAACCAAAGCUCCUCCUGCUGCUUUCUCCCAGGAUUGAAAUCAUGCAGGGUCUGGGACACAGUCCUAGCAACAACAGUUCCUAAUUUGUGAGAUGUCAAAGCUCUCUGCCAUCCUAUCCUUAGGGAUAA